GUGGGGAGUGGCGUGCCUUGCAUCUCUCUGCAUUUUAGUCCCAGCUAAGCUGCUUGGUCUAGACUCAGAGGAUCAUGUACUUGGAUGGAUUUGCACCAUAACCAACUGCAGGGAACUCUGUGAAAACAGUUUUUGCCCCAAAAUAGACUCCAAGUAGUGUUUUCCCAGGGAAUGGCAAGACAAAUCUUACCUCAGGAGCAGGAAUGGCAAAUGCCACAG